GACGAACGCUGGCGGCGUGCUUAACACAUGCAAGUCGAACGGAAAGGCCCUGCUUUUGUGGGGUGCUCGAGUGGCGAACGGGUGAGUAACACGUGAGUAACCUGCCCUUGACUUUGGGAUAACUUCAGGAAACUGGGGCUAAUACCGGAUAGGAGCUCCUGCUGCAUGGUGGGGGUUGGAAAGUUUCGGCGGUUGGGGAUGGACUCGCGGCUUAUCAGCUUGUUGGUGGGGUAGUGGCUUACCAAGGCUUUGACGGGUAGCCGGCCUGAGAGGGUGACCGGCCACAUUGGGACUGAGAUACGGCCCAGACUCCUACGGGAGGCAGCAGUGGGGAAUAUUGCACAAUGGGCGGAAGCCUGAUGCAGCAACGCCGCGUGCGGGAUGACGGCCUUCGGGUUGUAAACCGCUUUCGCCUGUGACGAAGCGUGAGUGACGGUAAUGGGUAAAGAAGCACCGGCUAACUACGUGCCAGCAGCCGCGGUGAUACGUAGGGUGCGAGCGUUGUCCGGAUUUAUUGGGCGUAAAGGGCUCGUAGGUGGUUGAUCGCGUCGGAAGUGUAAUCUUGGGGCUUAACCCUGAGCGUGCUUUCGAUACGGGUUGACUUGAGGAAGGUAGGGGAGAAUGGAAUUCCUGGUGGAGCGGUGGAAUGCGCAGAUAUCAGGAGGAACACCAGUGGCGAAGGCGGUUCUCUGGGCCUUUCCUGACGCAGAGGAGCGAAAGCGUGGGGAGCGAACAGGCUUAGAUACCCUGGUAGUCCACGCUGUAAACGGUGGGUACUAGGUGUGGGGUCCAUUCCACGGGUUCCGUGCCGUAGCUAACGCUUUAAGUACCCCGCCUGGGGAGUACGGCCGCAAGGCUAAAACUCAAAGGAAUUGACGGGGCCCCGCACAAGCGGCGGAGCAUGCGGAUUAAUUCGAUGCAACGCGUAGAACCUUACCUGGGUUUGACAUGGAUCGGGAGUGCUCAGAGAUGGGUGUGCCUCUUUUGGGGUCGGUUCACAGGUGGUGCAUGGCUGUCGUCAGCUCGUGUCGUGAGAUGUUGGGUUAAGUCCCGCAACGAGCGCAACCCUUGUUCACUGUUGCCAGCACGUUAUGGUGGGGACUCAGUGGAGACCGCCGGGGUCAACUCGGAGGAAGGUGGGGAUGACGUCAAGUCAUCAUGCCCCUUAUGUCCAGGGCUUCACGCAUGCUACAAUGGCUGGUACAGAGAGUGGCGAGCCUGUGAGGGUGAGCGAAUCUCGGAAAGCCGGUCUCAGUUCGGAUCGGGGUCUGCAACUCGACCUCAUGAAGUCGGAGUCGCUAGUAAUCGCAGAUCAGCAACGCUGCGGUGAAUACGUUCCCGGGGCU
rnacentral:rRNA from 1 species